CAAUAUGGGUGAUUCUUUGACGUUCGUCUGCCAGCCAAGUCUCAAAGAGAAGCUUCUACAGAUCAUAUACAGAUAACGUGUUGGAGAUGCAGCAGCUAGAGUAGAGUACACCAUCCUCAAAUGCUGUCACUGCCGAGGUAAAUGAUAAUGCAGCCUACCUACAAGACACACAGAUCCGCGAGAAGAUAUACAUGCAGGCGACUUAAGAUUUAAGGUAUAUCUAUAAAUACCAGACUUUGAGGAUGAUACUUGGUAGCCGAUCACUGACCCGACAACCAUGCGGUGGAUGAACAUCUGUACUGAUGUAGAUGAAGCUGCACAUGCUAAUGAAGACGUAAACAACGGUACAGCUUGCCGACAAGAAGGCUUUUAUUCUGACUAUUCUAAAGCUGGGUGGCAAGCAGAAGGGUAGGUGUUUCUGGGGUAUGGUUCUGACAUCCAGCAGUUAGUACAUCACCCACCUGCACAACUGUGUGUUUGGAGUCCAAGAUUGGUCUGUGUUCUGGCAGCAGAUUCAGAUCAACAGCAAUGAUACAGGCUGAAGUUGCAUCAGUGGUAUCAGAAGAGGUCCAGCUCCAACAAAAAGGCUACCAGGGGGUAGAGGUUGGCCCUGAGUGAUAUCAGAAGAGGUCCAGCUCCAAACAAAAUGGCAUCCAGGGGUAGGAGUGGACCCAACUCCUGCAGAACUCCUGCAGUAGCCUAAGUGAA